rnacentral:pre_miRNA from 1 species
GGGGGGAGGCCGGAUCCUGGGCUGUGUCCCCGUCGCCCAGUGUUCCCGGGCCUGCGCUGUUGGAUUCACUCCCGGCCGCGUAGUCGCCU